rnacentral:ribozyme from 1 species
UGCCCAGCAACUCCUAUCCCUACAUCCUCGCAAUACUGACCGGGGUACGAGCAACCUAACAACUUUGGUCGUAUGCUGACAGGGAAGG